rnacentral:rRNA from 1 species
GGGUGAGUAACACGUGGGUAACCUGCCCAAGAGACUGGGAUAACACCUGGAAACAGAUGCUAAUACCGGAUAACAACACUAGACGCAUGUCUAGAGUUUGAAAGAUGGUUCUGCUAUCACUCUUGGAUGGACCUGCGGUGCAUUAGCUAGUUGGUAAGGUAACGGCUUACCAAGGCAAUGAUGCAUAGCCGAGUUGAGAGACUGAUCGGCCACAUUGGGACUGAGACACGGCCCAAACUCCUACGGGAGGCAGCAGUAGGGAAUCUUCCACAAUGGACGAAAGUCUGAUGGAGCAACGCCGCGUGAGUGAAGAAGGGUUUCGGCUCGUAAAGCUCUGUUGGUAGUGAAGAAAGAUAGAGGUAGUAACUGGCCUUUAUUUGACGGUAAUUACUUAGAAAGUCACGGCUAACUACGUGCCAGCAGCCGCGGUAAUACGUAGGUGGCAAGCGUUGUCCGGAUUUAUUGGGCGUAAAGCGAGUGCAGGCGGUUCAAUAAGUCUGAUGUGAAAGCCUUCGGCUCAACCGGAGAAUUGCAUCAGAAACUGUUGAACUUGAGUGCAGAAGAGGAGAGUGGAACUCCAUGUGUAGCGGUGGAAUGCGUAGAUAUAUGGAAGAACACCAGUGGCGAAGGCGGCUCUCUGGUCUGCAACUGACGCUGAGGCUCGAAAGCAUGGGUAGCGAACAGGAUUAGACACCCUGGUAGUCCAUGCCGUAAACGAU